rnacentral:rRNA from 1 species
AUACGUAGGGGGCGAGCGUUGUCCGGAAUGAUUGGGCGUAAAGGGCGCGUAGGCGGCCCGGUAAGUCUGGAGUGAAAGUCCUGUUUUUAAGAUGGGAAUUGCUUUGGAUACUGUCGGGCUUGAGUGCCGGAGAGGUAAGUGGAAUUCCCAGUGUAGCGGUGAAAUGCGUAGAGAUUGGGAGGAACACCAGUGGCGAAGGCGACUUACUGGACUGUAACUGACGCUGAGGCGCGAAAGUGUGGGGAGCAAACAGGAUUAGAUACCCUGGUAGUCCACACUGUAAACGAUGAAUGCUAGGUGUAGGGGGUAUCGACCCCUUCUGUGCCGCAGUCAACACAAUAAGCAUUCCGCCUGGGGAGUACGGCCGCAAGGUUGAAACUCAAAUGAAUUGACGGGG